GGGCGCAUGGCCUAAUGGUAAGGCGUCAGAUUUCGGUUCACCAAAAUCUCCAUCCUCUGAAGAUUGCAGGUUCGAGCCCUGCUGUGCUCG